rnacentral:rRNA from 1 species
AUGGCGGCCAUUCUUGAAUCUUUGCUUGGAUCAUGUGCCAGUAAAUUGCAAAAUAUCAUUACAGAUGAGGCCAUACUAAUCCUUGGGGUGGAAGAAGAGCUCAGAGAAGUCCUGCGACGAGUAGAACUGAUAAAAUGUUGCAUAUAUGAAGCUGAGAAAAGGAGGACAAAAGAGCUAGCCAUAAACAAUUGGCUUGGCCUAUUGAGAGAUGUCAUAUAUGAUGUUGAUGAAAUCCUAGAUGUGGCUAGAUGUAAAGGAAGCAAGCUACUUCCUGUUGAUCCUUCUUCAUCAUCAAGCAAAUCAGCCACAUGUAAAGGCUUUUCAAUUUCCUCUUGCUUUUGUAACUUCUGGUCACGUCGUGAUGUUGCUGUUCGGAUUAGAAGCCUCAACAACAAGAUUGAGAACAUUGCAAAUGACAAGAUAUUCUUCACAUUCAACACUAGUAUACAACCUACUAGAAAUGGUCCAACAUCCAAACUGAUAAGAAGCUCCAACCUUGUUGAGCCCAACCUUGUGGGGAUGGAGAUGAUACAUUCUUGCAGGAAGUUGGUGGACUUAGUGCUUGCGCACAAGGAAAGUAAGUCUUAG